AUUCCUGUUUUAGUACCACCCAUCUGCCUCAUUUCAGGAUGUGUGGCUAUGCUAACAGGGUAGAUAAACUGUUUGUCAAAGUCUGAAGGGGUAGAUGGCCACACCCACUGCCUCUAUAUGUAUUGACAGCACAUUUGUAA
ensembl:snoRNA SNORA29 Small nucleolar RNA SNORA29